ACGAAUUCUGUUUAUACUUUAAAUUUUAUGACAUGGAGUCACUUGGGGUUCUAGUGUUUUGAAAUCCAGAGCUGGUCUGGUCUCUUCUCUGCUUUCACAUACUUCCCUUAUUGGCAAGACGAGCACACUUGAGCAUUCAGAGAAUAACAUAAUCUUUCUAAAAUCUGGUCAGUUUGCCCAUUGCAAAUAAAUCACUCUAAUAAAUUUUUAAAGCAUGUUGUUGCUUAAAGUAAGUGGGCAACUGCUUUAUGUAAUGGGAAAAAACAUAUGCAGACCUUACAUGAAAGAAUCAGGCUGGCUUCAAACCCCACAGCCCCGUGGACUUCCCAGUUCCUCUAGAUGGACCAGGGACUCAGUCCAACCUGAGGACGUCCCUGUGGAUGCCUCCUUUCACUUCGGGUGUUAGAUCUUCCAGGAGAAGAUCCAGCCUCUUAGUCUCUUAUCAUUUGUCCCUUCUUUCCCUUUCAGGUGACCUGUCCCUGGAUCCCAAAAGACCAGCUCGAUUUUCCAAGGAAGUGGGGCCAGCAUUUUGGGAUGGUGGCAUGUGGGACCUCACCCACAGAAAAACAGGGGCCUCCAGCAAAACUGUGCAAGACAGGAUGAACAAGUGAGAGCCUUGGAACAAAAACAGGUCACAGAGCUGCUGUAAUAAUCCAGUUCCGUGGCAUCAGGAAGCUGCGUCUCUGCCUCCAGGUUUUUGGGGAAAGCACAGUUGUGGACCUGACAUUGUCUGGACAGGCAGCACUGUUUAAAUGAACUGGCUGAAGGCAGGAAAGCAAGCAAUUGGGCCACUGCCACCAUCCACCCCCGUCCCACCCAGUGUCGCCUCCAGCUGAUUGCUACAGUGACAGUUUGAAAGGUAAGUAAGGUCAUUUCUCUUAUUUCUCUGCUUAAAACCUCCAGUGACUUGCUGUCGGUUUCCCAAGGUACCCACAUGCUCUCUCCUUGGUUUUCACUGAAAUGUCACCUUACAGAGGCCUUCUAUGACACCCUGUUUAAAAUGUCCUCUUCAUACUCUAUCCCACUGCAUCCCCAUCUAUAUAGCUCUUAUCCCACCUGACUCAGAGCUCACAGUUGGAAGACAGAGAAGGAGUUGUUCUGAUUCCCCCCACUGCUGUCACUGUUUUGGGGGAGAUUCAUUUUGCUAAUAUACGCACAAGAUUCCUUAGAAUCUAUGCUCCGUAAGGUAUGUUCUAGAAUCUAGGUUGCCAGCUUGCUAAUGAGGUAACUUCUUGUCUUACAUGGUUACUUUUUUGUGAGUGAAAGCAUACAUGAAAACAUGUAUGUUCCAUUAUACUAAGAGGGUAACAGUGUUUUCUCUCCAGAAUCAGGAGGUCCUUACCGUACUGAUGAGUCCUGGGUCCUAUGCCUCUGACUGUGACCAUCAUACCUUGAACAGCACUCGUUCGAAUGACAAAACACUUUUCAUUAAU